rnacentral:misc_RNA from 1 species
CCGAGUUUACAACUCCCAAACCCCUGUGAACAUACCACUUGUUGCCUCGGCGGAUCAGCCCGCUCCCGGUAAAACGGGACGGCCCGCCAGAGGACCCCUAAACUCUGUUUCUAUAUGUAACUUCUGAGUAAAACCAUAAAUGAAUCA